AGAGUUUGAUCCUGGCUCAGGAUGAACGCUGGCGGCGUGCCUAACACAUGCAAGUCGAGCGAUUCUCUUCGGAGAAGAGCGGCGGACGGGUGAGUAACGCGUGGGUAACCUGCCCUGUACACACGGAUAACAUACCGAAAGGUAUGCUAAUACGAGAUAAUAUACUUUUAUCGCAUGGUAGAAGUAUCAAAGCUCCGGCGGUACAGGAUGGACCCGCGUCUGAUUAGCUAGUUGGUAAGGUAACGGCUUACCAAGGCGACGAUCAGUAGCCGACCUGAGAGGGUGAUCGGCCACAUUGGAACUGAGACACGGUCCAAACUCCUACGGGAGGCAGCAGUGGGGAAUAUUGCACAAUGGGCGAAAGCCUGAUGCAGCAACGCCGCGUGAGCGAUGAAGGCCUUCGGGUCGUAAAGCUCUGUCCUCAAGGAAGAUAAUGACGGUACUUGAGGAGGAAGCCCCGGCUAACUACGUGCCAGCAGCCGCGGUAAUACGUAGGGGGCUAGCGUUAUCCGGAAUUACUGGGCGUAAAGGGUGCGUAGGUGGUUUCUUAAGUCAGAGGUGAAGGGCUACGGCUCAACCGUAGUAAGCCUUUGAAACUGGGAAACUUGAGUGCAGGAGAGGAGAGUGGAAUUCCUAGUGUAGCGGUGAAAUGCGUAGAUAUUAGGAGGAACACCAGUUGCGAAGGCGGCUCUCUGGACUGUAACUGACACUGAGGCACGAAAGCGUGGGGAGCAAACAGGAUAGAUACCCUGGUAGUCCACGCCGUAAACGAUGAGUACUAGCUGUCGGAGGUUACCCCCUUCGGUGGCGCAGCUAACGCAUUAAGUACUCCGCCUGGGAAGUACGCUCGCAAGAGUGAAACUCAAAGGAAUUGACGGGGGCCCGCACAAGUAGCGGAGCAUGUGGUUUAAUUCGAAGCAACGCGAAGAACCUUACCUAAGCUUGACAUCCUUUUGACCGAUGCCUAAUCGCAUCUUUCCCUUCGGGGACAGAAGUGACAGGUGGUGCAUGGUUGUCGUCAGCUCGUGUCGUGAGAUGUUGGGUUAAGUCCCGCAACGAGCGCAACCCUUGCCUUUAGUUGCCAGCAUUAAGUUGGGCACUCUAGAGGGACUGCCAGGGAUAACCUGGAGGAAGGUGGGGAUGACGUCAAAUCAUCAUGCCCCUUAUGCUUAGGGCUACACACGUGCUACAAUGGGUGGUACAGAGGGCAGCCAAGUCGUGAGGCGGAGCUAAUCCCUUAAAGCCAUUCUCAGUUCGGAUUGUAGGCUGAAACUCGCCUACAUGAAGCUGGAGUUACUAGUAAUCGCAGAUCAGAAUGCUGCGGUGAAUGCGUUCCCGGGUCUUGUACACACCGCCCGUCACACCACGGGAGUUGGGGGCGCCCGAAGCCGGAUUGCUAACCUUUUGGAAGCGUCCGUCGAAGGUGAAAUCAAUAACUGGGGUGAAGUCGUAACAAGGUA
rnacentral:rRNA from 1 species